rnacentral:rRNA from 1 species
GACGAACGCUGGCGGCGUGCUUAACACAUGCAAGUCGAACGGAAAGGCCUGCUUUCCCUUGUGGAUUGCGGGUACUCGAGUGGCGAACGGGUGAGUAACACGUGAGUGAUCUGCCCCCAACUUGGGUAUAAGCCUGGGAUACUGGGUCUAAUUCCCGAUAGGACUGCAGGGUGGUGCCUGUGGUGGGAAACGAUUUUCUAGUGGUUGGGGAUGAGCUGGGGGCGUAUCAGCUGGUUGGUGGGGUAAUGGCCUACGAAGGCGGCGACGGGUAGCCAGUCGGGGAGGGGUGACGGUGGCAUUGGGACGGGGACACGGCCCCGACGCCUAGGGGAGGCAGCAGUGGGGAAGAAUGCACAGUGGGCGGAAGCCUGAUGCAGCGAGGCUGCGUGGGGGAUGACGGCCUUCGGGUGGUAAACUCCUUGCGACCGCGAGGAAGCCACCUGGUUGGAAGGGUGGUGACGGUAGUGGUAGAAGAAGCACCGGCUAACUACGUG